rnacentral:rRNA from 1 species
CCUACGGGUGGCAGCAGUGAGGAAUAUUGGUCAAUGGCCGGGAGGCUGAACCAGCCAAGUCGCGUGAGUGAAGACGGCCCUACGUGUUGUAAGCUUCUUUUGUCAGGAAGCAAGUUGCAGGUCGUGACUUGCUGUGAGAGUAUCUGUAGAUACAGCAUCCGCUAACUCCGUGCCAGCAGCCGCGGUAAUACGUAGGUGGCAAGCGUUAACCGGAUUUACUGGGUGUAAAGGGCGUGUAGGCGGGAAAGCAAGUCUGAUGUGAAAACCGUGGGCUCAACCUGUGGCCUGCAUUUGAAACUGUUUAUCGUGAGUACCGGAGAGGCAGACGGAAUUCCUAGUGUAGCGGUGAAAGGCGUAGAUAUUAGGAGGAACACCAGUGGCGAAGGCGGUCUGCUGGACAGCAACUGACGCUGAGGCGCGAAAGCGUGGGGAGCAAACAGGAGUAGAUACCCUAGUAGUC